UACGGGGGGGGCAAGCGUUGUUCGGAAUUACUGGGCGUAAAGGGUUUGUAGGUGGCCAACUAAGUCAGACGUGAAAUCCCUCAGCUUAACCGGGGAACUGCGUCUGAUACUGGAUGGCUUGAGUUUGGGAGAGGGAUGCGGAAUUCCAGGUGUAGCGGUGAAAUGCGUAGAUAUCAGGAGGAACACCGAUGGCGAAGGCAGGUCUCUGGGCCACUACUGACGCUGAGAAGCGAAAGCAUGGGGGAGCGAACAGG
rnacentral:rRNA from 1 species